CUGCGGAAAGCGAAACAGCUCCAUGCUAGUUGUUGAGGAUGGAUUUCUGGAAGUAAAAUGACCACGUGAAAGGGAAUGAGUAUUUUCAAGUUGUCCAUAUGAUCUCCAGAGAGGUUUUAUAUUCACUUUCCCUUUGGGCUGCUGUAAAGGAAAAUGGGAAUCAGCACCUACUUCGAAGGAAGUGAAGGGGUGCAGGGAAUGAGAUGGUGUUAGACGAGACGCACCAUCUACACAUUUGCUAUUAUUUAAAGCAACAUCCAAACCAUCGUAGAAGUGUUUUGCUUGGGAAAACUGGAGGAGGAGACAGGAUUCCCUAAUAUCACAGUGACCUACAGAGAGGGACAAAAGUACAGGUUCUCUACCCAGAAGUACCUUCAACCCCUUUCUAAGGAAACCUCCUCUGAGAUCCACUUGCCCACUAACCCCAGCUAUCAGGACCCAGCAAUUCUGCCAAGCACCUUCAAAUCUAGCAAGUCAUGCUGGCUUUCUGCUUCAGGUGGGGCCUUAGCAACUGGCUCCAAAUUAAAAUAAAGUGAUGAUCCUUUGCAGGGAGAAAGUGUGAGAAUUUUCAGUUGCCUGGUAGACUUUUGUGGACUACUAUUGCUUUUGAGGUAUUAGGAGACUAACGAUGACAAUGGGAGCAUCUCAAGAUCUCUUCAAGCUCACCCUCAUUGUCUUUAUGUCAGGUACCUUUCAGUUUCU
rnacentral:lncRNA from 1 species